AACACUUUUCACAGCAGUAACGAUGAUAACUUGUUGCUCCCUACUAACUGGGUAAUAACAGAGUCCUGGUGCUGAUAAAAGCUUUGGCGUUCAUAACAUCCAGAACUGCCUCAGACACCAACUGCUUUAUCUGUCAUCUAAAUAUACCACACAAAGGCAAACUGUUUGUGCUGCAGUAGUUCUUGAGGCCCCAAGGGCCCCGUCGUCCUGAGGCUUGUCCAGACAGCCAGACUUCAGCAAGGAAAAGGGGAAGGGAAGAUGAAAUCCUAAUCUUAAUGGCAGAGAACUGAGGAACAUAAUUUGAAUGACUUUACAAAACUAUGCCAAAAGUGAGCAGCAGAGUUAGAAACUGGAACUCUUGAAUUUCACAUUGGUAUCUUUACUGGGGGAACAGCCUUCCUUCCCAAAGUGUACUCAUUGUGCUAAUUGAGCUGCUUCAAGAUCACUGAAUGAGGAUAGAUUUAUGGAGAUAGGAGCGAAGCACAGUGCUGGCACCCCAAGCAGCCCUCCAUGUAACACAGAGCCUUUCUGAUAGAAUCAAAAUGAGGACUGGGGAACAUAAACCAGCGUGCUAUGUUGAUUAUUUUCUUCAGCUCAGUGCAAAAGGUCACAGUGUUUCUUAAGACCCGACAGUCAGGUUCCAUUUAGUUCAUUUAAAUGAGCUUUAUUUUUAAUGGGAAUACGGAUAACUGAUACCAGAGUUGAAAAAGGCACCGCAGGUCAACUCUCCUAUACCAAACAAACAUCACCAAAGUAGUUUGUAGAGCAGAGUUAUUAACAUAUAGACAUAAGGCAUGCACUGAUACUUUUGCAAUAUCGUUAUUAAAGCAUGUCUAAAUUAAGAAGAGAGGAAUUGUAAUGCAGCGAUACUCAAUAUACAGGUAAUAUACAAUCAGAAUGGCACUGCCCAAAAUGUACCUUUAUAGCACUGAGGUGAUCCAGCACUUUCCAUACCUCUCUAUAUAACUUAAUAGACAAGAAUGCAUAUCAUCUGAGAUAUGCAGAAAUAAGGAAGAUAUCAGUGAUGCAGACAGAAUCAUAGAAUAGAAUCAUAGAAUCGUUAAGGUUGGAAAAGACCAUGAAGACCAUCUAGUCCAACCACCAACCCAUCACCACCAUGUCCACUAAACCAAUUCUGCUCAUAGCUAUUAAAGUUAAUCUUCUAUGAAGAGCUGGGUUGCUGUUUUACCUUGGACGGGGCUGGGUCUUCUUAGUAAUGUUUUUAUCACUGAAAAAAUGACACCUUUUUUAGAAGGCAAACACAUGCACUGGUCUAGUUGCAAUGAGAUGCUUUUGCUGAAGUAGUGUGGACGGUUUCUGGCUCUUUCUCCUGGCUGAUGAUACUCAGUCCUCUAAGGGGGAAGGAGGUUUCGUGCUACUUUUCUCAGAGUGAAAUGAGGAGGGUGACUGUAAGCAUCCAGCAAAUAGAACUUUUGCUGCAUUUGUUUACCUGCAGUGGUACAAGACGAGAAAAGAACAAAGCAGAGACUUUCAUACUGUUCAGUGGAGACACUCAGAGGUUUGCUUUAUAAUGUUUCCCAUGGGCGCAGUGAGUAUGGGCACUCACAGAUUCCUGAAUUUGGCCUGAACUGCAGUAAGUAGCAUGUGCUGCAGGGCGAGCAGAACAAACUGUGCAAAGUCCGUGUUGUUAGAAAGGCAUUAUGCUGCUCAUUUCCACAGAGACCAGGGGAGGGGGAUUUGCAAUAAAGAAGGAAGAGUGUGCUCAGUAGCAAAAUACGUCGUGAUGGAAUCCAGGCACAGUGAUUAUUACUUAAAACAAUAAGUACUCUACAUGAGUGGAGUGAUUUAUCCUCAUUUUUUUUAAUUAAGAAAACACAUCCCUGAAUUACUGAGGAAGGAUUAGAUUCCAUCCAUGGAAAGGAUUACAGUGCCUAAUGCAUAUGUGGAAGGAUUAGGUGGAAUUGUAAAAGAGAUUUUAAUCACUUUGGUAAUAUCAAGAAAAACAGAUUCUAAAUAAUGUAUCAGGAGUGUGAGCUUGAGCUAUUUUUCCCAUCGUUCUCAUUCAGACAGUAGAAUUUCGGAGCUUUUCCCCCAUUCCCAGUCUCAUAUUCUCAUUGCUAGUAUUUCAUUGCCCAGCUGGGGCAUGCUGUGUUCACACUUUACAAUAAUGUUCCAAACAAGUUGCUUUUGUAGACUCAUGCUGUAACAAGAGCCCAGUGCUUUGUAUGCAGGCUGGCUGAGGGCUGGCUAGAUCCCUCACUUGGUGCUGCAGGGAAGGCAAAGUUGGCUUGGAAUCCCAGCAUUUUGGGCAGCUCAUAAGCGUCACUUACAAUGAUGUCAGUGGUUGCUCUGAUUGCCAGCAGCCCAACGGGGAGCAUCUUAUAUCAGGGCAGUGAGUGCUGUCCUGCUCCAGCUGUGGCCUGCCUGCAGCCUCAGGCACCUUGCCAGGGGCUACAAAGGGAGCAGUGAGGGCCACGUGCGCUCUCCCUCAUCUGCUUCUGCACCAAAGGGGUUCCCCAGGGAUGAUGCUGAUAGCAAAGAGGCUCAUACUUUAUUUCGUUACACCUCUGCUUGAAACUCCCUCAUCUACACUGGGAAUCUGUCUUCCCUGCAGCACCAAGCACACAUCCCUUCAUCUAAUGGUUGGCUAAACUCAUCUCCCCGGAUGCAAAGCCAACUUUGUUCAUUUACAGUGGAGCUUGCUCUAGAAUAGCUGCAGCCACAGCUGUAAUCCCCACAGAACUGAAAAUGCUCAGCAGGUGAUGUCCUUGCAAUAAAUAAAUAAAUAAAUAAAUAAAAAUAAUAAAAAAAUAAAGCAGGAAAGUCGCAUAAAGCAUAGAGUUCUCAGAAGCACCACAUUAAAGUUGCACCAUUUUUCUUUGGAGGUAAACCACUUCACCAGCUGGAACCAGGCCUUCAGUUAUGUUCCAACAAGCGUUUUUUGUAGGAAGGGAGGAUGGGUGUUUAAUUAAUCAAUGCAUACAGCUAAGGACAGGGAAGAAGAUGCCGACAUGAGAAAAUGAAAUAAGGAACAUUAUCACCAUCACAUUUUCUCAUUUUACACAUAUUUGAACUGUUCCACUGCCCAUUGUUUGUACCUCUUUGCUCUCUGUAUUUCUAUUAAAAAACCUAGAUCUCUGACCUUCCCUUUCUCAGCUCAACAGUCUACAUUCCUUUUCUUUGAAGCUGCUUGAUUUAUGCUUGAAAACCAUUUCAUUUCUCCUGCUGCAUAACUGAACACUCCAAAAACUAACAAGCCACCUCAGCCAGCUGCGCCUUUAUUGCUUUUCCUGUAAAGAACUACCAAAAAUAUUUCAGGAAAGUUGUGGAUCUGCCCGGGGCCGAGGUUUAACCUGAGGACUGAAUUUAUGCAAAAGCUGAGCAUAUCCUGCAUGAUUUUGGAGGAACACAAUUAUCACUUUGAGUGAAAACGUUGUGUAGCGACAGUGCCUGGUAAAGGAAAAUGGGAGAUGUGGUGAGAUGGCCUGAUUAUUUUGGGAGGGUAUACAUCAGUUGCACAAGAUUGCUUCAUGACUGACUCCUUCCAGUGUCCCAGAGAUGCAUCUCGCAGUUUGAUGGCUAUAAGGCAAUACCUGGCUUUUACUUCAUCAAUCUGAAAGUGGAUAAAAUCACAGUACUAGCCGCUGCUAGUGUUCAUGUAUGAUACAACGGUUGUUUACAAUAUGGAAGUGGUCAAAAAGGAAUUGUCACACAGCAGACCAGCACUGGUUCUGUCAACACCUUUCUGCGUCACCUCACAUGAUCCUCUGAAUUCACCAUUUCCUUCUAACACAGUGUAAAUGUUAUCAGUUACCAUCUGAUCAUACCUUGCUUGGCAGCAUUGUUCUAGACAAAGUUGUGACGCUUAUAAGAAAACUUCAUGGCCUUCAAUCAAGCUUAAUCAAAGCAUCAGGUAGGAUACUGGAUGAUAGGGCAAGGGGGAGUGGCUUUAAACUAAAAGAGGGGAGAUUUAGGUCAGAUAUUUACAGGAAAUUUUCACUAAGAGGGUGGUGAGACACUGGCACAGGCUGCCCAGAGAAGCUGUGGGUGCCCCAUCCCUGGAGAUGGUGGCCAGGUUGGUUGGGGCCCUGGGCAGCUGAGCUGAUAAGGGGCAGCCCUGCCCACAGCAGGGAGUUGGAACUGGGUGGGCUUUAAGGUCCCUUCCAACCCAAACCAUUCUAUGAUUUCAUGAUCUAUCACAGAUGAUCUAUUAUCUACACUGGUAUCCCAGGAUUUUAUCAGCUGAUGUGUAUAGACACGUCAAAGAUAAACAGCCUAAUGUUCGGAAAGAUUUCAGAGAAAACAAUACUGAAAAUAUGUAUUUUUAGCAAAAAGAAGUUUUACUGGAAUGCACUAGCACUUUUGACAUAGAGAAUGAGUACUGUAAGCAAGCAGUUCACAUCUGGUCAGAAGAGAAGAAAACUGUAUCUAGGAUAAGACCGAAUGGGAGAAAGUCACAGAUUAGAAUUUUUUAUGAGAUUAAGAUAUUUUAUGUCCUAAAACAUUCCUCAGGUUGUCUUCCUCUGUCUUUUCAGCUGUUGUCUGGCACGUAUUCCUCCUUUCCCUACAGGCAGCAGUGGAGAAGGCAUUCCUCUAACUGCCUUGUCACCUUGCCUAGAUUUUCAGGAUGAGGUGACUUUAUGAUUGGCAGGAUGUGUAGAGUUAAAUUAUUCACUGAAAUGAGGACUGCUCUUUUAAAAAAAUGCUGCAGUGAACUUUCUGUGCUAAGAAAUUGGCUAGAGUGUUCUGCUGUUUUCUCAGGGCAAUAUAUAAAUGACUCAUUUGUCUUAUCAUCUUGUUUUUUAUAAUCAAACUACGCUGCCAUUUCCAGAAUGUUUGGUAUCAGCCUGGUGUAUACAAGCACUAAAACUGGUUGUAAUGUGUGUGCCAGUGGAGCGAUGCCAGAAGUUUUCUUCCCAUCAAAGGUGGGGUGUACCAAGGAAUUCCCACCUGUGGGACCUGACUGUCAUUUUGAGCCUUAGCUGUUGUUGUUACCCCUGUUUGGGCAGAACAGGAGCAUACAGGAACACCUGCUGGAGGUGUAGGGAUCCCCAGGAGGCCUGUGCCAGGUUUCUUCACUGACAGAAUGGGAAGGCUGGUUGCCUUCUGAAUAUCUUCAAGAUGUCAAUUUUCAUCUUCAUGACAGAUUUCUGUUUUUGAUAUGACAAAGAUGGGUUCUCUUGGUGCACUUUGCAGCUGAGCUUCUGGUCCUCUUUCUGUUAAAACUACAUAUGAAUUCAAGAACAGAGGGUCUGUAAAGUAAAUGAACUAAACAUGAGUAAAUACAUAAGGGUAGCUAUGCGUCAGUUAAUUGUAGUUGUAAAGCUCAAAGCUUUCAUGAGGAAAAAUGUCAGAUAAAAAUACUUCGUUCAUGUCAUUUCCAAGUUUUUCAUUACUAAGUGUCUGUGGAGGUAGCCUGGCCUAGGUGGCCUUUAAAGGUCUCUUCCAACUCAAACAAUUCUGUGAUUAUAUGAUGAUUUUAUCAUUUGUAGAUAGAUUAUUAGAUACAGUUCCCAUAUCGUGCUGCUCUAUUAUGCCUGCAGACAUAAUUUGUCCUGGCUGUUUGUUGGCCUCCAGGCUCUCUGUGUCCGUGCUGGAGCUCCCUGUCUUUGUGUGCAGUGGGCCAUGGCCUAAAGCACAUCUUCUCUUAUUAGCUCUUACAAAGAAUGGAGCUGUGGCAACUGCAAACAGAGACAGGAGAAAGCAUAAGGCACAUCACGUGUUUCAGUUUUGCCAGUUGUUUUAUUUUACAGUGAAACUCUCCCAUCUGUGGUCAGGUUUGAUCUGAUACCCCUGUUUGUGAUACCCUUUGUUGUGGGCAGCUGAAGGUUGCGUUGCAGGGGAGAAAUGGUCGCUCUCUUUUUUGCACAUUCCAAAUGUGCAGUUGGGUCUGGGAAAAUAAAUGUCAGUCUGUUUUAAUAAAAAUGUGCUGCAUGCAGAGAUAACUCAGUGAUUGAAAUUCAAGGCUGGGGCUUUGGGCCUGGUUUGCCUGCUUAACUGUGGUGAACCCCACCCACUCCUUCUGAAUCUCAGUGUUGGGGAUGAAAUCUCAUCUUGCUUUCUGACGUAUGUUAUCUGCAUUCUCUGCUGAUGUUUAUGGGGAAGGUAUAUUUUCCAUUCUACACCUCCAGGAUUUUCCAUCAUUAGUUAGACAACAGAGUGCUAACUAAUGACUGGGAGACCCUUACUGGGUUAUCAUAGUAGGCUAACAAGGAGAAAAAAAUGAAAACAAAGGACGGGGCAAUGCAGUUUUAAUUUCUUUGACAUACACGACUUAGGUAUUUACGAGAAUAUUUUGUAGUAUAGUACAGUAAUUGUAUUAUUUCCUAACCUCUCAAAGAAAGGUAACUGUAAUAUGGCACAUUACAAAUAGUCUGCUAUUUAUUUAUUUAUUUGUUUAUUCAGAAAAAUGGGUUGAAUGCAAUGAAGAGAGAUCUAAGUUUUAUUUCUUUUAAAGCAUGCGUACACGUUUAAUUUAUCAGAUAUAGAUGAAAUUGAUUUCAUUUAUUUAUAUAUUGCAAUAAAAGUACGGAAUCAAAUGUAUGCAGUCUGGAGCAAUAUGAAUUUCAAAGAAAAGUGUUUGCUUCGCCUCUUAAGAAUAUCUGAAGUUGGAAGUUUGUUUACAUUUUUAUUUGAAUCAUCUGCACAAUCUUGCUGCUGUGAGUGUGCAAAAUCCAGUAAUGUCCAUCCGUGCAUAGAAUGCAUGUGCAGCAGUGAGCAGUCAAUAUGCUUUUGCAGGGUGAGAACCUUCUUGUUAUCCUUUUUCUCUUAAUGUAAUCAAAUCUGGUAUUUUUUAACACUGUUUACAAACAUAAGGAGAGAGAAAUACUGCAAUUCUCUACAAUGUCACUUAACUUCGCAGAAGUUUGUGGCUGCUUUCUCUGUGGCUAUGUGAUAUUCCAUUCCAGAAGGAUGACCUAAAGCAGGGUUUCAGUUUUAAUCAUGUACUCCCUCUUUGAUUGCGUGAAGAUACAACUCUUUCCUUGGUUUGAAUUGCGAUUAGUAGCUACUGAGCGGUUAGCUGAGUUACAAAUUAGAAAAUACAAAGCUGUGGGGGGACAGCAUCUGAAAUGCACCAAUCUAAGAAUGAAAUAAUUGAUGCUUUUAUGGAUCAUUGCUUCUUUAAACUAUCAUCUAAAAAUAGAAAGCAAUUACAAUAUUUUACAGAGAAGAUCAUGGCAUUAGUACUCAUGCUAAUAUUUGCCCUCUGAGUAACUCUUCCUUUUUGUUCCACCUGUUCUGAGAUGGAGGAAAGGAUUACGUGAAGUUUACUGGGCUGAGUAAUCCAGUCUGGUUGAGCAGCUUGGAAAUACCAGCAUUUACCUGCCUCCGGUAAAACAGCCCAUGAAAUCAGGAGAGAUUUCCAGCACUCCACCUUUCCCUGCCUAUUCAGAGCAGUCUUUUUGCCCAAUCUUACAUAAUCUAUCUGAAAAUUAAAAUCCCGUGUCUCAGUCCCAUGAGGAAUAGCUCGGAGGCUGAGGAGUACAAAGUGUCACCCUUUGGAAAUUUAGUGCCAGUAUCUUGCCACUCCAAAUUCAUGUCGCUACGCUGAUACCACAUUAUGUAUUCUGAUGAAGUUCAAAACCGCUUUUCUUUGUCUGCACGUCAUGCACUCAUGUUAAUAUUUUUCCAGUCUGCCAGUUUUUAUGGCACUGAUCUUUUUAGUUGCAGUUCAUCAUUUGAUUUAAUGUCAUUACAGGCAAUGAUUUAUAACUGCUUCAUUAUUAAGAAAAACAAUCAAAAUGGAAGAAGAUGGAUGCAUGAUGGUGAGCAGUGCCAUUAAACUGGACUUACAUUUCGUGCACUUUUCAGGAAAGCCUCUAAACACAACGAAGUGCUUACACUUCUCCCCCAAAUUAAGCCACGUGGGAAGUGGUGGUUCCCCUAUUGGUUGAUUUAGUUUCAGCAGGUUGAUGUAAUUAUGCAGUAGGGUAGGGAAACUACAUCAGUACAGUAAUGAUGUUUAGGAAAGGUCACUCCAUCUCCUAUUUCAGUGCCCUGAUGCAUAGUAUAUUUCAGUGAGAAUGCACCUAUAAGCCCAUAAAUAUCUGUAUACUCAAGAUAAGCCCUUGCAGUCUUCGGUAACUCUGUUACUAUUGGCAAUGCCAAGCUUAUCAUAAAAGAAUCAAGAUAAAUUAUAUUUCUUCUAAAUUUUUGAUACAUUUUUGCUAUUUUUUUUUAAUCAGUACUAUAGCACUUCCCAUCCAAGCAUCUCAAAGCACUUGCACUGUAUAUGCCAGUCAGUCUCAUCCCUGCAAGUACAUAUUUUCUGUGUGCUUUAGGAAAGAAAGCAUUCACCCAUACCAUUUCCUAUGGAUCCCAAGUAUGCUGAAUUUCUUCCUCCUCAGUCAACCUUUAUUUAUUUUUUGCGUAUGCCAUUCACUUCUUCUUUGUGAUCCUUUGUGUUCUGAACUUUUCUGGUUUUGCUUUAUCAAUUUAUCAUGGAUUUUUUUUUCAUCUCAUCCACAGCGUUUACGUACUAUAGAUUCUAGUUAGUAAUUAUAGCUCAUCUGAAUUGCAGUUACCUGUUUAUCAUGUAAAUACACAUAUGUAAGCAAGUAAAACAAUUCUUGGCCAUUCAAUAGCUCUUCUGAUUCUACCGCAGAUAUCUCCUCAUGCUUCACAUUGAUAGGGAAAAAAGAAACUAAUUCAAUUUCUUGAAGUUUUCAAAUCAAUGCUGUAAACAAGUUUUAAAAAUGUAGGAAGGAACAGCUAAUGAUCAGAAAAUGUUAACUGCCUGUCAUAGGAAUUGUUUAUGAAAACAAGAGAGCUUUGUCUAAGAAGCUGUUGGUAGCACCAUGGAUAUGAAAUUUUGUUUCCAUUGAUUUGACAAUGAUGUCUUUUACUAUUCAAGGACAGGAGACAGAAAAUAUCAACUUUUCAUAAAAUACAUUUUAAAUGGAAGAAAUUUGCCUUUUCCAUUUCAGCAGGCGCUGCAGAGAGGCAGCAGGAUGCAAAACAGAGAUGAAGUAAAGAAUAAAGGAGAAGUGCUCCAGCCCUCUGAUCAUCUUCAUGGCUUCCUCUGGACCUGCUCCAACAGCUCCAUGUCUUCCUUGUGUGUAUAGUUUGAAGACGCUGAAGAACAUGAAGCCUGGCACAAAUGACCCCAAGAAACUUCAGCUGUGUGCAGCUACAAACGUGGUGGUCUGCACUCAUGGUCCUGGUCAAACAGGUGGUUCAGCUCAGCUGGAUCCAGUUUGCUGCUCUCCAAGGGGACCAAGGACAGCACCCUGCCCACUUGGACACCUAGACCUUCUGGCUUGGCUGCACAUCAGCACUUCUAAUUGAAAGAGCCGGGGGUGCUUUUACUACUGUUUUGUUAUUAUAAGAAAGGAAGGUUGUGAGAUUGCCUUAGGUAUUGAAUGAGAUGUAAUUUUCCUAUAUUGUUUUUUUCUAGACUGUUUUCUUAACCUAACCCAGGGUCUCUUUCACUCUCUGUGUUGCUCAGCUACAUGCACGCUGCUGAAUGACUCUGUCCACCAUGCUUCUUCUUCAGAGAGGCCCAGUUUACUUCUGUCCCCCAGCUCAGAAGUGAUUAGGAAAGCCUUUUUACACAACAUGUCUUUGCCAUAGCCCUGUGCAGUGUUCUGUUAGUGCAGGUAUGGGAAAACUUAAGCCUGUAACAGCAAUUAAUUUAAUUUAUAUGUGAACACAUUAAUGGGAUUAGGAAUUCAGGCUUAGGCGUAGUAAAUUGUUAAGCCUCCUAAACUACAACAAUAUCAAGCAUUUAAUAGUGCUGAGGCUGUACCAUUCCCUCCCCUGCAAUGAAAUCCUCCAUUUUCUAUUGCUAUUUUGCAUCUAUUUUGCAUCUAUUUAUUGACGUCAAGUAUGACGCCAAUAACCCAGGUUGAUGGCAGGAAGGAGACUGGCAGUCACACGGACAUAUUCUUGUCAUGUAAUGUGAGCACAUCCACUUCUGAGACAGAUGCCAGUGGUGGCCUCUUACCUCCCACAUCUGGAGGAAUCUCCUCCUGAAAAUCUGUAGUUAGAGAAUUAUUAUGAGACCUUCAGGGUGACUUAUAGAUCAGACUUGGCUUUUAUGGUACCCUUGUAAUUGCAUGGGGAAAGAAAGACUGUGGUGUGGAGCAGGUGGGGGGCCUCUCCAUCUCUGCUCUGCCUGGGGUUCCACAUGCUCUGAGCACCUGUCUAACAUUUGAUUAGCAAUUUUAGGAAAAAGACUUUUAUUUCUAGAAAUCAAGACCAUGCAAACAUUAUCCCUAGAUGAAUGAAAACCAGAUGUCAAGUCAUUGUCCAUUUUUAUUCUGGAUUUCUGCAUAGUUACAGCUGGCACCAGCUGGUGACCGGGGACAGGUGGGCAGACAGGCAGAAGACAACUGCCUGACUGGCUGGGACUGUUCCACCUGGCAGUUCCUGAUGCAACUAGCAGCUGCUGGACACUUGAUACUUCUGUCCCGUGUUUAGGAACAAAGCAAUGGCUGUAUCUGUCUGUUUUGAAACACAAAGCUUGAAAUCCUGGUCUAAGAGAAUAAACGGCACAACUGUUGACAACUGUUGCUCUUUCCAUGACUUUUAUCUCAGAUAGGAAAUGUAUCUCAAAGGACAUCAAUAAAAAGAGGCUCCUAAGGGAGAAUAGAGCUCUUGAAAGCUGUCUAUUUAAAUGAAGUCUUGAUGUCACUGAAGAUUUGUGUGGAAGAAAGGCUUGUGGAAAAGUUUUGAAAGUGUUAACGUUCUCAAUAUAGUCAUUUUUGGAAUAAAACAUUUCAUUUUUUGACUUUGAAAUAAUAGAUUGAGUCAAUUUAAAUAUAUCCUAUAAAAAUUCAUAAGUCAAAAUAAAAAGAAAAUUGAAGGAAAAUAUUUCCAUUGAUCAGAAAUUUGUAUUUGCCUCUAAAAUUUUCCUGUGGAAAAAUUUUUGGCUUUGAAUAUAACUUUGACUUGGAAAUUUCUAAAUCUUCAUGACAGAAGUCUUCUCCAAAGCAUCUAUACCAUUAAGCUGCACAUUUUCAGAAAUACUUACAAAGGCAGCACAGACCUAAGAAGUUGCAGCUUUGCGCGCAGUCAAAAAGCCAGAAUGUAUUUACAGUGGGCAAUUAGGUGUCAGAUAAAGUACUCUGCCAUGUAGCUCUCCUACAAAGCUUGACUGACUGGCAAAUUACUUGUUCUACCAUGUUAAUACAUUUAAAUGAUGACUGUUUAAAUAGAUAAUGUUUAUAUUUUUAAAACUGAAUUACAUGGCAUGAACUGAUCAAAAACGUUUAUCUACAAUUUCCUUCUACGCAUUUAAUUAUUAUUAUUAUUUUAUUAUUGUAAAUUAUAUACUGGGCAUGGUUCCUAGGAAUAAUUGACUUUCGUAGGAAACAAAAUCAGAGGACACAUGAGCAAUACAGACUGUGCAAUCAUUAUAUAGUAGGUAGCAGGAGGAAGGAUUUGCAUGUACCAUACACUCAUUCCAAAUUCACUUAUUUGCUACUUUGAUCAUUAAUAUUUUAGGAGAAAUUUCUUCUCUAAAAGAGUGGUCAGAUGCUGGAAUGGGCUGCCCAGGGAGGUGGUGGAGUCACCAUCCCUGGACCUGCAGAUGUACUAAGGGACAUGCUUUAGUGGGGAAAUAA